GAUGAACGCUGGCGGCGUGCCUAACACAUGCAAGUCGAACGGAGAUUACGUACGGUUGUUUUCGGAUGGAAGACUGUAAUUCUUAGUGGCGGACGGGUGAGUAACGCGUGGGCUACCUGCCCUAUACAGGGGGUUAGCAGCUGGAAACGGCUGGUAAGACCGCAUAUGUCGGUUAUAUCGCAUUUUUUGAUCUUGAAAUUGGCAUUCCGGUAUAGGAUGGGCCCGCGUCCGAUUAGCCAGUUGGCAGGGUAAAAGCCUACCAAAGCGAGGAUCGGUAGCCGAGAUGAGAGGUGGGAAGGCGAGAAUGGGACUGAGACACAGACCAAAAUGCUACGGGAGGCAGCAGUGGGGGAUAUUGCAGAAUGGAGGAAACUCUGAUGCAGCGACGCGGGGUGAGAGAAGAAGUAUGUCGGUAAGUAAAGCUCUAUCAGAAGGGAAGAUGAUGACGGUACCUGACUAAGAAGCACCGGCUAACUACGUG
rnacentral:rRNA from 1 species